rnacentral:misc_RNA from 1 species
GAUGAAGAACGUAGUGAAAUGCGAUACGUAAUGUGAAUUGCAGAAUUCAGUGAAUCAUCGAAUCUUUGAACGCAUAUUGCGCUCUCUGGUAUUCCGGAGAGCAUGCUUGUUUGAGUAUCAGUAAACACCUCAACUUCCAUAUCUUUUUUGAAAUGGGAGUUGGACUUGAGUGAUCCCAACGCUUUUCCUCACCGAAAAGUGGCGGGUUACUUGAAAUGCAGGUGCAGCUGGACUUUUCUCUGAGCUUAUAAGCAUAUCUAUUUAGUCUGCCUAAAAAACAGAUUAUUACCUUUGCUGCAGCUAACAUAAAGGAGAUUAGUUCUUGUGCUGACUGAUGCAGGAUUCACAAAGACAGGCUUCGGCCGACUUUGUAAACUCGAUCUCAAAUCAAGUAAGACUACCCGCUGAACUUAAGCAUAUCAAUAAGCGGAGGA